rnacentral:rRNA from 1 species
CUACACAUGCAGUCGAACGGUAACAGGAAGCAGCUUGCUGCUUUGCUGACGAGUGGCGGACCCUAAAGUAAUGUCUGGGAAACUGCCUGAUGGAGGGGGAUAACUACUGGAAACGGUAGCUAAUACCGCAUAACGUCGCAAGACCAAAGAGGGGGACCUUCGGGCCUCUUGCCAUCAGAUGUGCCCAGAUGGGAUUAGCUUGUUGGUGGGGUAACGGCUCACCAAGGCGACGAUCCCUAGCUGGUCUGAGAGGAUGACCAGCCACACUGGAACUGAGACACGGUCCAGACUCCUACGGGAGGCAGCAGUGGGGAAUAUUGCACAAUGGGCGCAAGCCUGAUGCAGCCAUGCCGCGUGUAUGAAGAAGGCCUUCGGGUUGUAAAGUACUUUCAGCGGGGAGGAAGGUGUUGUGGUUAAUAACCGCAGCAAUUGACGUUACCCGCAGAAGAAGCACCGGCUAACUCCGUGCCAGCAGCCGCGGUAAUACGGAGGGUGCAAGCGUUAAUCGGAAUUACUGGGCGUAAAGCGCACGCAGGCGGUCUGUUAAGUCAGAUGUGAAAUCCCCGGGCUCAACCUGGGAACUGCAUCUGAUACUGGCAGGCUUGAGUCUCGUAGAGGGGGGUAGAAUUCCAGGUGUAGCGGUGAAAUGCGUAGAGAUCUGGAGGAAUACCGGUGGCGAAGGCGGCCCCCUGGACGAAGACUGACGCUCAGGUGCGAAAGCGUGGGGAGCAAACAGGAUUAGAUACCCUGGUAGUCCACGCCGUAAACGAUGUCGACUUGGAGGUUGUGCCCUUGAGGCGUGGCUUCCGGAGCUAACGCGUUAAGUCGACCGCCUGGGGAGUACGGCCGCAAGGUUAAAACUCAAAUGAAUUGACGGGGGCCCGCACAAGCGGUGGAGCAUGUGGUUUAAUUCGAUGCAACGCGAAGAACCUUACCUGGUCUUGACAUCCACGGAAGUUUUCAGAGAUGACAUGGUGCCUUCGGGAACCGUGAGACAGGUGCUGCAUGGCUGUCGUCAGCUCGUGUUGUGAAAUGUUGGGUUAAGUCCCGCAACGAGCGCAACCCUUAUCCUUUGUUGCCAGCGGUUAGGCCGGGAACUCAAAGGAGACUGCCA